GAUGAACGCUGGCGGCGUGCCUAAUACAUGCAAGUCGAGCGAACAGACGAGGAGCUUGCUCCUCUGACGUUAGCGGCGGACGGGUGAGUAACACGUGGAUAACCUACCUAUAAGACUGGGAUAACUUCGGGAAACCGGAGCUAAUACCGGAUAAUAUAUUGAACCGCAUGGUUCAAUAGCGAAAGACGGUUUUGCUGUCACUUAUAGAUGGAUCCGCGCCGCAUUAGCUAGUUGGUAAGGUAACGGCUUACCAAGGCAACGAUGCGUAGCCGACCUGAGAGGGUGAUCGGCCACACUGGAACUGAGACACGGUCCAGACUCCUACGGGAGGCAGCAGUAGGGAAUCUUCCGCAAUGGGCGAAAGCCUGACGGAGCAACGCCGCGUGAGUGAUGAAGGUCUUCGGAUCGUAAAACUCUGUUAUUAGGGAAGAACAAAUGUGUAAGUAACUAUGCACGUCUUGACGGUACCUAAUCAGAAAGCCACGGCUAACUACGUG
rnacentral:rRNA from 1 species